CCGGACCGGCGCGACGGGUGAGUAACGCGUAUCGACAACUUACCUAUCGAGGAAGGGGGACUAACCCGGACGAAGUCGGACUAAUACCGCAUGAAGCAGGGGCCCCGCAUGGGGAUAUUUGCUAAAGAUUCAUCGCUGAUAGAUAGGCAUGCGUUCCAUUAGGCAGUUGGCGGGGUAACGGCCCACCAAACCGACGAUGGAUAGGGGUUCUGAGAGGAAGGUCCCCCACAUUGGUACUGAGACACGGACCAAACUCCUACGGGAGGCAGCAG
rnacentral:rRNA from 1 species